CUAUACAUGACUCUGCGCAUAUCAAUAAGCGGAGGAAAAGAAACUAACAAGGAUUCCCCUAGUAACGGCGAGUGAAGCGGGAAGAGCUCAAAUUUGAAAUCUUAAAGGGUUUCCCUUUACGAAUUGUAGUUUAAAGAAGUGUUUUCUGUUGAGGUUUUGGUAAAAGUUCUUUGGAGUAGGACAUCAUAGAGGGUGAGAAAUCCCGUAUUUGACCUUUACUUUCAACUUUGUGAUACACUUUCAAAGAGUCGGAUUGUUUGGGAAUGCAGUCCAAAAUGGGUGGUAAAUUUCAUCUAAAGCUAAAUAUUGGCGAGAGACCGAUAGCGAACAAGUACCGUGAGGGAAAGAUGAAAAGAACUUUGAAAAGAGAGUUAAACAGUACGUGAAAUUGUCAAAAGGGAAGCGUUUGACACCAGUGUUGUUUUUCUGAAAAUCAAUUAAAGAACUGUUUAUGCUAAGUUGUUUAGACUUUAUCAGCUAACUGUUUAGUUUUGAGCUUUUCUUUAAUGCACUUUUCAGUUAACAAGUCAACAUCAAUUUCUUUUGCUGUAAAAAAGCUUGAGGAAGGUGGCUUGAGAUUCGUCUUAAGUGUUUAUAGCCUCUUGCCUAUGCAGUCGGAGAGAUUGAGGUCUGCAGCGUAGAUCCUUCGGGGCUAAAUGCAUUUGUGCUAAGUUAUAGCAUUUUAUAGACAACUUGUUGACUAUGAUUUGUCUUGUAGCUUACUCGCUUAUGUUAUUUUACCUACGCUUAGGAUGUUGAGCGCAUGUCUCUCUCU
rnacentral:rRNA from 1 species